rnacentral:lncRNA from 1 species
CAUUCAACUACAGUUAAUUUUAGUUUUAUCCAUAUAGUUAGCUAUUCAUUAUAGAGAAAACCAUCUAAGAAAAACACAUCUACAAUAAAAUUAACGGAAAAGGAUUUUGUUAUUGAUGGCUCGAGUGAAGCCUUACCGAGUAGGAAUGAGUGCAACACAGUCUUGGGUCCCGUAAGAUUUUGCUAGCACAUAUCUUCUGCAAAGCAUCCUUCUUUAAACCUUAUGACGUGAGAUUUAGAUUGUAGAAGAUACUAAUAUCGAACAUCUAGAGUUUAUGUUUGUGCCUGAAGAUUAAAAAUGGAAAGAAACUUCUUUUUUUUUCUUUCUUUGAAUGAAUGGAGUUAAGUGCGUACCCUUGUGUUUAAUCUAUAAAAAAUAACUUGAGAGGUUAUGUAGACU